rnacentral:rRNA from 1 species
GACGGAGGGUGCAAGCGUUGUUCGGAUUGACUGGGCGUAAAGGGCGUGUAGGCGGUUGGUCAAGUCUGAUGUGAAAGCCCGGGGCUCAGCCCCGGAAGGGCAUCGGAAACUAGCCAGCUGGAGCGCGAUAGAGGAGGGUGGAAUUCCUGGUGUAGCGGUGAAAUGCGUAGAUAUCGUAAGGAAGACCAGUGGCGAAGGCGGGUCUCUGGACAGUUCCUGACGCUGAGGCACGAAGGCCAGGGGAGCAAACGGG